rnacentral:misc_RNA from 1 species
AAAAUAAUCCUACCCUUUGUGAAUUUUGUUUGUUUGAAUAAUUUUUUUUUUUAAAAAAUUAUUGGAGUCUUUCCCUUUAGAGUUUGCUUUUGAGUUUGUAAAAGAAUUCGAAAACAUCUAAAGGGGAUGGUCAAUAAUUUUUUUUGAAAAAAGACAUUUUUUAAAAUUAAACUUUUUGUAUUCAUUUGUCUAAAAAUUAUUUUUAUAAUAUAAAAACAACUUUUGACAAUGGAUCUCUUGGUUCUCGCAACGAUGAAGAACGCAGCAAAAUGCGAUAAGUAGUGUGAAUUGCAGAAUACGUGAAUCAUCGAAUCUUUGAACGCAUAUUGCACUUUUUUAGUUUACUAAAAAAGUAUGUCUGUUUGAGUAUCAGUAAAAUAUUCUCAUAAAAAUCAUUGUCUAUUUUUAUGGUUAUGAGUGUUUUACAACGAUACAAGUUGUUUCACUUUAAAUUUUUUUUAAUAUUGAAAUUUUUCUAAUUUUAAUAAUUAAAAUUGGAUAAAAUUUUCCCGUCAAAAGGAAUAACCUAAACAAUUUUAAAUGAUUAAUUUUAGCAAAAUUUUGAAAAAAGGAAAAUUUUUAUUAAAAUAACUUGAUCUCAAAUCAGAUAAGAGUACCCGCUGAACUUAAGCAUAUCAAUAAGCGGAGGAAAAGAAACUAACAAGGAUUCCCUUAGUAACGGCGAGUGAAGCGGGAAGAGCUCAAAUUUGAAAUCUUCAAGGUUUUACCUUGACGAAUUGUAGUUUAAAGAAGUGUUUUCUGCUGAAGUUUUGGUAAAAGUUCUUUGGAAUAGGACAUCAUAGAGGGUGAGAAUCCCGUAUUUGACCAUUAUUUUCAGCUUUGUGAUACACUUUCAAAGAGUCGGAUUGUUUGGGAAUGCAGUCCAAAAUGGGUGGUAAAUUUCAUCUAAAGCUAAAUAUUGGCGAGAGACCGAUAGCGAACAAGUACCGUGAGGGAAAGAUGAAAAGAACUUUGAAAAGAGAGUUAAACAGUACGUGAAAUUGUCAAAAGGGAAGCGUUUGACACCAGUGUUGUUUUCUCGAAAAUCAAUUAAAAAUGGCUCGAUUUUGUAUUGCUGAGACCUUAAAAGCUCACUGUACAUUUUUCGUGUCUUUUUUAAUGCACUUUUCGUUUAACAAGUCAACAUCAGUUUCUUUUGUUGUAAAAGGGUCAUUGGAAGGUGGCUUUCUUUUCGGAGAAAGUGUUUAUAGCCUUUGGCCUCUGCAAUCGAGAGACUGAGGUCUGCAGCGUAGACUCUUCGGGGUUAGAUACAUUUGUGCUAAGUUAUAGCUUUUUAUAGACAACUUGUUGACUAUAAUUAGUCUUGUAGCUUACUCGCUUAUGCUAUUU